GCCAGGCAUGGUGGCGCAUGCCUGUAAUCCCAAAGGUUUGGGGGGCUGAGGCAAGAGGAUUGUGAGUUCGAAGCCAGCCUCAGCAACAGUGAGGCACUAAGCAACUCAGUGAGACCGAUUCUGUCUCUA
rnacentral:sRNA from 1 species